rnacentral:rRNA from 1 species
AACGAACGCUGGCGGCAGGCUUAACACAUGCAAGUCGAGCGCCCCGCAAGGGGAGCGGCAGACGGGUGAGUAACGCGUGGGAACGUACCCUUUGCUACGGAAUAGCUUCGGGAAACUGGAAUUAAUACCGUAUGUGCCCUACGGGGGAAAGAUUUAUCGGCAAAGGAUCGGCCCGCGUUGGAUUAGCUAGUUGGUGGGGUAAUGGCCUACCAAGGCGACGAUCCAUAGCUGGUCUGAGAGGAUGAUCAGCCACAUUGGGACUGAGACACGGCCCAAACUCCUACGGGAGGCAGCAGUGGGGAAUAUUGGACAAUGGGCGCAAGCCUGAUCCAGCCAUGCCGCGUGAGUGAUGAAGGCCUUAGGGUUGUAAAGCUCUUUCACCGGAGAAGAUAAUGACGGUAUCCGGAGAAGAAGCCCCGGCUAACUUCGUGCCAGCAGCCGCAGUAAAAC